rnacentral:rRNA from 3 species
AAAUUGAAGAGUUUGAUCAUGGCUCAGAUUGAACGCUGGCGGCAGGCCUAACACAUGCAAGUCGAACGGUAACAGGAAUCAGCUUGCUGAUUCGCUGACGAGUGGCGGACGGGUGAGUAAUGUCUGGGAAACUGCCUGAUGGAGGGGGAUAACUACUGGAAACGGUAGCUAAUACCGCAUAACGUCGCAAGACCAAAGAGGGGGACCUUCGGGCCUCUUGCCAUCGGAUGUGCCCAGAUGGGAUUAGCUAGUAGGUGGGGUAACGGCUCACCUAGGCGACGAUCCCUAGCUGGUCUGAGAGGAUGACCAGCCACACUGGAACUGAGACACGGUCCAGACUCCUACGGGAGGCAGCAGUGGGGAAUAUUGCACAAUGGGCGCAAGCCUGAUGCAGCCAUGCCGCGUGUAUGAAGAAGGCCUUCGGGUUGUAAAGUACUUUCAGCGGGGAGGAAGGGAGUAAAGUUAAUACCUUU